rnacentral:lncRNA from 1 species
AGCCCCUGGAGACAGGAAUCACAGCUACAGAUGUUAGAGCUUUCAGUGACUAUUAAUUGAUGGAGAUUGAACAUUACUAUUCUACUACUAGGUUUUAAAUUUGCGGGAAGGAGGAAAUUCUAGUCUGCUGGGAGAAAGUAUCUUCUUCUUUGCUGCUCACAUGAGUGUGGAGCUGUCUCCUACCCCUACGGAAUGAAGCACCCGCUUGUCCACAGACCCUGAGGAGGGGCAAAGACUAUGGAAAGAUGAGAUUUCCUCAGAGGUUACACACUUCCUCUUCCAAUCACCCAGUUCCUUGGGGGAAACUUUCAGCCUGUGAUGAGAAGAGAAGGAUGCAGGCCUUGAAACCGUGAUCAAGGAGAUGAUGCCAGACUCCUUGGCAUCUGGCUUCCCACUUUGUUGCCUCUUCUGCCCAAGUUCGUCGUGCAUGUGUGCCGGAAUCAUCCAAGUGCUGCACACUGACCCUGGAAAACUUCAUCCUCAGGGCAGGUAACACACCAACUGACAUUAAUCGGCAAGCAGCCACCUGUAGCCCAACCUGCCCUUGGAGAGACAGCAUCGAAAUAAACUUACAGGAUUCAUAACCAGAGCUUCCUCCACACAGUUCUCUGUGCUGUUCUCCUGAAAAUCUACCACCUCCACAUUCUUCUCCCACCCUGGCCUGCAAGCCUGCAACUUUGGCUUAUAUUGCUUAUUAAGAACUGAUGAGAAUCUGAACACAGCAAAAAUUGAAUCCAGACACAAAAGAGAAUCUCUGCAAAUUUUUUCCCUGCCCUUUUUUAGACUAUUUCAUAAAUUCAUUUCUUAAAUAUAUUUCCUAAAUCAUUGAAAACAAUUAACAUUGUCCGAAAUACUUCAGAGUGAAUAAAACAUGAAGUAUUGAUACCAUGAUCUCGACAAGUUCUGUGUAUGACAGAAAAAGCCAAACACCAGGUAGCUUUAGCUCCAGUUAGCUCUUGAACUUCAAGUUUUAGUGCAUUUAUUUUUUUGUAAGCUCUGAUUGCCACCACCAAAGCUCCCACCUGGUUUCUGAAGAGCCAAAAC